CCUCAUUCAAGGGAGUUUAGCUAUUAAAAUAUGAACAGAUGGCUUCACCUAUCAGAUGGUUCCUGGCCCUGAGAAGUUCCUCUAGCCUUCCCUCUACGUCCCUCAGAUCUCUCCUCGGUAAAAUACGUAACAUCUUGCACAAAGGCUGUCACAUCACAUCCACUGCAGUCAAAGGAUUCAUUUAGCGGCCCCCUCUCCUACCAGCGCCAACAACAAAGCGUCAGACAACCACGACCAAGAGACCCAGAGGAGUCCCUCGCUGGCCCAUGGAAUUCACAGUCUAGCAGGAGAAACGAACGACUUAACAAGCAGAACUGAAGCUUAGGGAGAUGAAGCUAUAUGUCUAAGGUCAUCAGGCUACGAAGAGAUGCAGCUGGAAUUCAAAUGCAGAUCUGCAAGGCCUAUACUAUUUAUACUUUUCCAUGUUUUCAUCCUAAAAAUGUAAAACAUCAAAAUAGUCACCACAAGGAAGAAGAAAUUUGAGUAUCUAGUACUAAAUAUAUUGAAAAAUUAUUCACAUGCCACACACACAUAACUAAAUACACUUGUUUAGAUCAAAAUUUUUCCAAACUUUCAAAUAGCAAAUAGUAACCUAACUAUCCAUUUCAUCUCCAAAAAAAGAAAAUAAUGGCAAACUAUGUAAAAUUACUAUAAACGGAAAAAGUGGUUUUAAUCCUAAUUGUGAUUAAGACACACAUGUGCACACA